rnacentral:rRNA from 1 species
CGGAAUUAGAGACCGGCGCACGGGUGCGUAACGCGUAUGCAAUCUACCUUUCACAGAGGGAUAGCCCAGAGAAAUUUGGAUUAAUACCUCAUAGUAUAUAGCCCUGGCAUCAGGAUUAUAUUAAAGUCACAACGGUGAAAGAUGAGCAUGCGUCCCAUUAGCUAGUUGGUAUGGUAACGGCAUACCAAGGCUACGAUGGGUAGGGGUCCUGAGAGGGAGAUCCCCCACACUGGUACUGAGACACGGACCAGACUCCUACGGGAGGCAGCAGUGAGGAAUAUUGGACAAUGGGCGCAAGCCUGAUCCAGCCAUGCCGCGUGCAGGAUGACGGUCCUAUGGAUUGUAAACUGCUUUUGCACAGGAAGAAACAACUCUACGUGUAGAGUCUUGACGGUACUGUGAGAAUAAGGAUCGGCUAACUCCGUGCCAGCAGCCGCGGUAAUACGGAGGAUCCAAGCGUUAUCCGGAAUCAUUGGGUUUAAAGGGUCCGUAGGCGGUCUUAUAAGUCAGUGGUGAAAUCUCCCCGCUCAACGGGGAAACGGCCAUUGAUACUGUAGGACUUGAAUUAUUAGGAAGUAACUAGAAUAUGUAGUGUAGCGGUGAAAUGCUUAGAGAUUACAUGGAAUACCAAUUGCGAAGGCAGGUUACUACUAAUGGAUUGACGCUGAUGGACGAAAGCGUGGGUAGCGAACAGGAUUAGAUACCCUGGUAGUCCACGCCGUAAACGAUGGAUACUAGCUGUUGGGAGCAAUCUCAGUGGCUAAGCGAAAGUGAUAAGUAUCCCACCUGGGGAGUACGUU